rnacentral:rRNA from 1 species
GAUGAACGCUGGCGGCGUGCUUAACACAUGCAAGUCGAACGAUGAAGCCCAGCUUGCUGGGUGGAUUAGUGGCGAACGGGUGAGUAACACGUGAGUAACCUGCCCUUAACUCUGGGGUAAGCCUGGGAAACUGGGUCUAAUACCGGAUAGGAGCGUCCACCGCAUGGUGGGUGUUGGAAAGAUUUAUCGGUUUUGGAUGGACUCGCGGCCUAUCAGCUUGUUGGUGAGGUAAUGGCUCACCAAGGCGACGACGGGUAGCCGGCCUGAGAGGGUGACCGGCCACACUGGGACUGAGACACGGCCCAGACUCCUACGGGAGGCAGCAGUGGGGAAUAUUGCACAAUGGGCGCAAGCCUGAUGCAGCGACGCCGCGUGAGGGAUGACGGCCUUCGGGUUGUAAACCUCUUUCAGUAGGGAAGAAGCGAAAGUGACGGUACCUGCAGAAGAAGCACCGGCUAACUACGUG